AAGAGUUAGGGUCCUCUGGGCCCGACCUCCCAACCCUUUGUUUACUGAACCUCUGUUGCUUCGGCGGACCCGCCUCACGGCCGCCGGAGGAUCGCCCCCAGGCGUCCUCUGGCCAGCGUCCGCCGACAGCCACUCUCAAAACUCUUGAAUAAAUCAUGUCAUUGUCUAAGUUAUGAUGUAAUCAAUAAAGCA
rnacentral:misc_RNA from 1 species